rnacentral:rRNA from 1 species
UACGUAGGGUGCGAGCGUUGUCCGGAAUUAUUGGGCGUAAAGGGCUCGUAGGCGGUUUGUCGCGUCGGGAGUGAAAACACCGGGCUUAACUCGGUGCUUGCUUUCGAUACGGGCAGACUAGAGGUAUGCAGGGGAGAACGGAAUUCCUGGUGUAGCGGUGAAAUGCGCAGAUAUCAGGAGGAACACCGGUGGCGAAGGCGGCUUUCUGGGCCUUACCUGACGCUGAGACGCGAAAGCGUGGGGAGCGAACCGG